UAAGCAUCUCUGCCUUUUGGCUAAGAUCAAGCAUUUUUGGCACCAAGGAGAGGGUGUUAGGGCUGGCCCUGGCCCUCCUUGUGCUCACCUGGUUUUGCAGUACCUUCAGGCCCAGUGCCAGUUCC
rnacentral:snRNA from 1 species